rnacentral:rRNA from 1 species
UGCCAGCAGCCGCGGUAAUACGGGAGGGGCUAGCGUUAUUCGAAUAAUUAGGCGUAAAGGGUUCGUAGAUUGUAUUAUAAGUUAAAUAUUAAAUUUUAAAUAAAAUUUUAAUAAAAUAUUUAAAACUAUUAUACUUGAGUUUUUUACAAAAAAAUAGAAUUUUAUGAGUAAAGAUAAAAUUUAUAAAUACAUAAAGGAAUGCCAAUAGCGAAAGCAAUUUUUUAGUAAAAAACUGACGUUGAGGAACGAAAGUGUAGGUAGCAAACAGGAUUAGAUACCCUGGUAGUCUACACUGUAAACACUGAAUGCUAAAAUUUAAAUAUGUUUUUAGAUUUUAUAAGCUAACGCAAUAAGCAUUCCGCCUGAAGAGUACGUUCGCAAGAUUGGAACUCAAAGGAAUUGACGGGGGCCUAUCCUAGCGGUGGAGCAUGUGGUUUAAUGCGAUAAUACGCGCGAAAUCUUACCAAUUUUUGUUAUAUAAAAAAUUUAUUAAUAAUUUUUUACUAAAUUUUAACAAUUUUAUGUUGAUAAUUUUUAUACAGGUGUUGCACGACUGUCGUCAGCUCGUGUCGUGAGAUGUUUGGUUAACUCCUUUACGAGCG